rnacentral:rRNA from 1 species
AUUGAACGCUGGCGGCAUGCCUUACACAUGCAAGUCGAACGGUAACAGGUCUUCGGAUGCUGACGAGUGGCGAACGGGUGAGUAAUACAUCGGAACGUGCCUAGUAGUGGGGGAUAACUACUCGAAAGAGUGGCUAAUACCGCAUGAGAUCUACGGAUGAAAGCGGGGGAUCGCAAGACCUUGUGCUACUAGAGCGGACGAUGGCAGAUUAGGUAGUUGGUGGGAUAAAAGCUUACCAAGCCGACGAUAUGUAGCUGGUCUGAGAGGACGAUCAGCCACACUGGGACUGAGACACGGCCCAGACUCCUACGGGAGGCAGCAGUGGGGAAUUUUGGACAAUGGGCGCAAGCCUGAUCCAGCAAUGCCGCGUGCAGGAUGAAGGCCUUCGGGUUGUAAACUGCUUUUGUACGGAACGAAAAGCCCUGGGUUAAUACCCUGGGGUCAUGACGGUACCGUAAGAAUAAGCACCGGCUAACUACGUGCCAGCAGCCGCCGUAAAAC